rnacentral:rRNA from 1 species
GAUGAACGCUGGCGGUGUGCCUAAUACAUGCAAGUCGAACGAAGUCUUCGGACUUAGUGGCGAACGGGUGAGUAACACGUUGGUACCUACCCUCUAGUGGGGAAUAACUGCCCGAAAGGGUGGCUAAUACCGCAUAAUACCGCAAGGUUAAAGCAGUAAUGCGCUAGAGGAGGGGCCUGCGUCUGAUUAGCUAGUUGGUGAGGUAAUAGCUCACCAAGGCUACGAUCAGUAGCNGGAUCGAGAGGUUGACCAGCCACACUGGGACUGAGAUACGGCCCAGACUCCUACGGGAGGCAGCAGUAAGGAAUCUUCCACAAUGGACGAAAGUCUGAUGGAGCAACACCGCGUGCAGGAUGACGGUCUUCGGAUUGUAAACUGCUUUUAUAUAAGGAAGAUUAUGACGGUACUAUAUGAAUAAGGACCGGCUAACUACGUGCCAGCAGCCGCCGUAAU